rnacentral:rRNA from 1 species
UACGGAGGGAGCUAGCGUUGUUCGGAAUUAUUGGGCGUAAAGAGCGUGUAGGCGGCCAGAUAAGUCCGCUGUGAAAUCUCGAGGCUCAACUUCGAGCUGUCGGUGGAAACUAUCUGGCUAGAGUCCGGAAGAGGAGAAUGGAAUUCCUGGUGUAGCGGUGAAAUGCGCAGAUAUCAGGAAGAACACCCGUGGCGAAGGCGGUUCUCUGGAACGCAACUGACGCUGAGACGCGAAAGCGUGGGGAUCAAACAGG